rnacentral:rRNA from 1 species
UACGGAGGGUGCAAGCGUUAUCCGGAUUCACUGGUUAAAGGGUGCGUAGGCGGACAGGUAAGUCAGUGGUGAAAUCUCUGGGCUUAACUCAGAAACUGCCGUUGAUACUAUUUGUCUUGAAUAUUCUGGAGGUAAGCGGAAUAUGUCAUGUAGCGGUGAAAUGCUUAGAUAUGACAUAGAACACCGAUAGCGAAGGCAGCUAACUAAGCA